UACGUAGGUGGCAAGCGUUGUUCGGAAUUAUUGGGCGUAAAGGGCGCGUAGGCGGCUUGUUAAGUCGGCUGUGAAAGCCCGGGGCUCAACCCCGGAGGGUCAGCCGAUACUGGCAGGCUAGAGUACGGAAGAGGUAGCUGGAAUUCCCGGUGUAGCGGUGAAAUGCGUAGAUAUCCCCAAGAACACCAGUUGCGAAGGCGGCCGUCUGGACACAUAUUGACGCUGAGGCUCGAAAGCAUGGGGAGCAAACAGG
rnacentral:rRNA from 1 species